CCACAUCUUGCCAAAACACCAGUUCUCAUAAGAUCACUGGUUAAGCAAUGUUGAGCCUGGUCAGUACCUAGAUGGGUGACCACUUGGGAAUAC